GCCCGUUUUCGGAAACGCGAUAUCGCCGGCACGCCAGCUCACCUCAGCCACGUCAGCAAGUUAGUUAGCAUCAGUUAGGAAUUGAAUUAGCAGAAAAAUAUAUAGCUUAGCUUCCAUUAAUUGUAAUUAUCUUUUAUCUAUUCUUUGUAAAUUGAGAUUAAGAGAUGAGUGCGAGUUGUAAAGUCAGAUGAUUGCUGUAGCCUGUAGAAUUUGAGAUUCCGUUGUUGAUGUUUUACUUUAUCAAAUACUAUUCAACUGUUGAGUUAAACAAAGGCAGAAAGUUGGAGAAUGAGCCUCUGGGAAUCGAAUUCGAGAAAGUGCCAGAAAUAUAUGUCAAGGCUCCAAAUGCCCAGCAGAUGUUCGAGGAAUUGACACUGAGUUAACUCCUGCCAGCUCCCUAAUCAGAUCAUGGAGGCCGCAACUUUUGAUUCUCCCAUCAGAUUUCCUCUUUGCGACAAAGACAAGGUUUCUCUUCACAAGUUCCUCUAAACACUCUUCGGCCACCUCUUCAAAGGUCUUGGUGUUGAUUGGAAAUUUGAGAAAGCCCUCAGCUAUCCAUAAUCCUAUGAGUUUCGAGGCAUAUAUCUCUUGAUCUUCAGGAAAUGAACCCAUGUACAAGAAACAUGGCCUCAAUAACUGAGGUAAUUCCACAUAGCUCAAGGAUAGUAUCUCUUCAAUGUGCUCUUGCUCUGCUGUUUUUGCAGACUUCAACGUCCCUGCAAUCUCCAGCCACGAAGCUGGAUUCUUAGUGACCGUGGAUAAAAUUCCUGCAAUCACCGCGAUAGCGAGGGGCAACCCUUUGCAGCUUCUUGCGAUAUCCUUCCCAAUAUUUUCCAAAUCGGAAGGACAUUCUUGAUUUGCAAACACCUUCUCCUUAAGUAAGCUCCAACUCUGAACUUCAUUCAGUAAACCCAACUCAUAAGGCGUGAUUGAAGGACCAGGAUAAGAAGCCACAUCAUACAACCUUGUGGUUAGCAUGAUACGGCUUCCGUCACCAUUAUCAGGAAACACAUUCCUAACAAUAUCCCAUGCCUCACUUCUCCAGAUGUCAUCCAUCACGACUAAAUAUUUCCUGCCUAUUAAAAUUUGGUACACCUUUAUGUCAGCACUUUCUUCUUUUCCACUUUGGUUGUUGUAUUCCUCCAGGGAC